rnacentral:rRNA from 1 species
GACGAACGCUGGCGGCGUGCCUAACACAUGCAAGUCGAGCGGGGUUGAAGCGAGAGGUAACUCGAGCUUCUACCUAGCGGCGGACGGGUGAGUAACGCGUGGGCAACCUGCCUCAAGGUUUGGGAUAACAGCCCGAAAGGGCUGCUAAUACCGGAUAUGCCUAUGGCCUCGCAUGGGGCUAUGAGCAAAGGGGAAACCCGCCUUGAGAUGGGCCCGCGUCCCAUCAGCUAGUUGGUGAGGUAACAGCUCACCAAGGCGACGACGGGUAGCCGGCCUGAGAGGGUGACCGGCCACACUGGGACUGAGACACGGCCCAGACUCCUACGGGGGCAGCAGUGGGGGAUCUUGCACAAUGGGCGAAAGCCUGAUGCAGCGACGCCGCGUGAGCGAAGAAGGCCUUCGGGUUGUAAAGCUCUGUCUGGAGGGACGAACAAAAUGACGGUACCGUCCGGAGGAAGCCACGGCUAACGUACGUCG